ensembl:lncRNA
AGGAGAGAAAUGCAAUGAUUUAUUUUUAAAAUAAGACAAAAAUCAGAUAUAAACAUUUUAAAAUCUGUUUUCUUUUUCCAAACUGUUAAGUGAUUUUAUUGUUGGGAAAAAAAAGCUUUAGAGUUAAUGUUUUAAGAUAUUGCUAUUACAUGAGAAGUGAGGCAAUAAAAAGUAAUUAUUUUAGGACAGUUUUAUCAGCAAUUUACAACAUGCCACAUACUGGCUGUUUGCAGGUAUUUCUGUACUCAUGCUCACACUCUGUUUCUUAGUAUCAGAAAGAACCUUUCCUUCUGAUCAAUGAGUGGGUUGUGCUGCUGAGCAUCUAAAAAGCAUUCAGAUUCUCACUAUUGGAUAAGGAUGUAUGAAAUUAAGAAUAUUUUAUCAUUUAGUAUAGUACCUAACACAUAGUGGAUGUCUCAAUAAAUAUUUGAUUAAUGAAUGACUAUAUUUGGGAUAUAAGAAAAUUUUUGGAAGGUUGACCAUUUAGAUAAUAGCAGGGCUAUAUUGAAAAGAAUGUAGAAAAUAAGUAAAACUUAUAUAACACUCCAGUGGAUGCAUAGUAUGGCGUGUAACUCACACUUCACCAAUUUAGGUGAACUCUGAAGGUUUAUAUAGCACUUUAAGUCAGCAGUUCUUUUCCUACCCAUGUACUCCAGACAAGCUUUUGCCCAUGUAAAUGAAGAGUCAUGUACGGCAAUGCUUAAUAGCAGAAAUCAACAAACAGUGUCAAUGUCCAUCACUAGUACAACAAAUAAAGCACUGCCUUAUACAGUGGAAUGCUAUAUUUUAGUAAGAAUGAAUGAAUUAGAGGUACACCAUCAACAUGGUUAAAUCUCAGAAUCAUAACAAAGAAGCAAAUCCGAGAAGGAUGUAUUGAGUGUGGUUCCUUUCACAUGAUUUCAAAAGCUAGAAAAUAUAAACACUUUCUACAUAACACAUAAAUGUUAAUAUUAUUAAUUGUAUUCUGUAAAGGGAAGAGUUAGAAUAGUGAUCAGAAUUCCAGUUAGUGCUUAGUUAUUCAGUAUAUACUAGGCAGGUGGGUGUAUGUUUGGAAAGAAGCACAAAUCAGGUUUUCAGACUGUCAGUGUUCUCUUUCUUCAUUUGUGUAUUGUUUCUCAGGGUUUCAUUUAUUAAUAUUAAUGAAUGGAUUAUAUACAUAAUUAUUAAUAGCAUUGAUUUGUUGUUAAUGCAUGAAUUAUAUACAUGCUUCCUUUUCUAAUACAUUUUACAAUCAAAAUAAAAUAAACUGUUUCUUAGAGACUGUAGUGUGUUAGGCAAUAUCCUUGUAUUCUGGAGCCUCAGCUAGAGUAAAGGUAGACAUUAAUUCAAUAAUUGCAGUUACUCUAGGCUUCCUGAAUGAGAAGUAUGUGGUGCUAAAAGACUGAAAUAGGUGAUGUGAUCUAAUCAAGGAAGUGCAGAAAGGGAUUCAUUGAGAAAGAGAGAAUUGAGCUAAUAUCUAAAUACUAAGUCAAAGUUAACUUGGAAAAGAAGGAAGGAAGGAAGGUAAAAGUAUCCUUGUAGGGAAACUGAUAUAAGCAAAGGCUUUUGGGUGCAGGAAGAAGCACUGUGCAUAUGAAGAUAGAAAGCAUAAUCAUUGUAAGUGUUGCAAAGGGAAAAAUGAAUAUUGUGAAGAAUAUCACUCAAGAGGUAUGUAGGUGUCAAACCGGCAUCUUGUAGAUAAUAUUAAGGCUUUUGUUUUUCCUCAGAGUGAGGAAGUUGAGAUUUUUAAGUAGAAAGAUGAUGUGAACAGUUUUACAUUUUGCCCAGUCAUGUCUGACUCUUUGUGACCCCAUGGACUGCAGCAUGCCAGCCUUCCCUGUCCUCACCAUCUCCUGGAGCUUGCUCAAAUUUACAUCCAUUGAGUCAGUGAUGUCUGAUUGGUUGGGAGCAAAGGUAGAUACGAGUGUGUGUUAGUUGCCCAGUCAUGCCUGACUCUUUGCGACCCCAUGGACAGUAGAGCAUCAAGCUCCCCUGUCCAAGGGAUUUCCCAGAUAAGAAUGCUGGAGUGGAUUGCCAUUCCUUUCUCCAGGAGAUCUUUCUGACCUAGAAAUCGAACCCUGGUCUUCUGCAUUGCAGGCAUAUUCUUUACGAUCUGAACCACUAGGGAAGCCCAGAUAUGAGUAGAUCAGCCCAGAAAUGUGGUGGUCCCAAUAACACAUAGCUUGGAUGAAAGUGCUGGUAGGGAAGAUGAGAAGAUAAAAAUUGAUUUCAGAAAAUUUUUAAGGACAAAUGUAAGGGAUUUGGUAAUGGAUUGGAUAUGGGGGUGUGAUACUUUGAAAAUGAUUGCUGAGUUUCUAGAUUGCCUAAAUGAAUGGCUGGUGGUACCCUUAACUGUGAGAAGGAAUAUAGGAAGAAGCCAUAGGCUACAUUGUUUAUUCAGAUUUGUACAUAUUAAAUGUGUGCAUUUUAGACCUCUGAGAGCAGAUAGUGAUCUAAUUUAGACUUUUGAAAGUAUGUUUCUAUAUUUGUAUUGUCUUGAACUGAAUUUUCAGUAUGGUGUAAGACCAUUUUUUUCUCUCUUCUUUUUUAGACAACAGAAAUAUAUUAAUAUAAAAGAAGUCUUUAUUAUCUCCUUUCUUUCAUUUUAAUUUCCAACCAUCACCCAUAGGGAUCUCAGACUUAGAUUCAAUAUAGGAGAGGAUUAUUGGUUCUUUGCUGCUCACCAUGAUUAAAAUAAUACCCUCUCUUGAUACUGAAGGUAGUAGUGUCUAAUGUUAGGCUUGUCCCAGUAUUGAGGAAUCUCUCAGCAUUUCAUAGAAGUGUGGUAAUUUGAAGGGUAGCUCUAUGUUGUUUUGAAGAGCAGAGGGCGAUCAGGACCAAAAGUAUGAGUUUAAGAAAGAAAGCUACAAUCAUAAAACUUCAUUGUUCUGAUUUUCAACCAGAAAUCCAAUGGUUAUUCUUUAAUUUCUGACAAUAUGGUAGAUUAUAUGUCCAGAGAAACCUUCUCAUUGGUAAAAACCAAAAACUGCCAGACAGAAUAUAUUUUUCUUUCUUUCUUUGAUUUUUUAAAUUAUAAAUAUAGAGUCACCAUUUAAUUAACUGGCUACUAUAUGUAUACACUGUAUUAUAUGCUUUCUAUAUAUAAAUUUUUAAUUUUUUAAAUUUAUUUUUAUUGUUUUAUUUUCUCUUCAAUUUUUAUUGAGCUAUAGCUUACAUACAUCAUGAAAUGAUGACCACUAAACAUUUAGUGACCAUGUAUUAUCUCAUAUAGAUAUAAAAUAAGAGGAAAAGAAAAAGCUGUUUUUUCCCUAUGAUGAGAGCUCUUGUAACAACUUUUAUUAUAACAUGCAGAAGUAUCACUUAUAUUAAUUAUUUUGUACAUUAUAUCCCUAGUAACUUAUUUAUCUUACAGCUAGAAGUUUACAUAGAUAUAUAGUUCAGAAAAAAUAUAUGUAUAUUUAAAUUAUUUAAUUGCAUAGCUGAGUUGGUGGGAAAGUAAGGGGACUUCUCAGAGUUCAUGAACAGCAUGAAAUCACAAAUCAGGAAAAGUAAGCAAGCAUUAAAACAGGCAUUUUUCUUGGGGAUAUUUGGCAAUUCCUCAUGGAAUUUCAGGAUUUAAGGGAGCAUUUUUUGAUAAGCAAAAAAUUUUGGCUGGCAAAAAUUGGUAGGUUAGACUGGAAAUCCUCUGCAUAAAUAGGAUCUUUAGAAGGUAACUCUUACUGUGAGUUAUAUUAAGCAAAUAAAAUAGAGUGAAAGAGAGAAAGAGAAGACAUAGGGACUGUGAGCAAGCAAACACUAUCGAGAGAGUGAGAAUAGAUAACUUUUUUAGUCUUGGUUCUAAGUAAAGUGGAAGAAACAUAAAGUUUCAACAGAAUGAAAUUCCUAACCUUACCCUUAUGUAAUUCAGGUUCACAUGUAAUGUAAAAACAUCUACAGAUAAAAUUUCAGUUUUAAGGUUGGUCAUAGCCCCGUAUACUUGGCAGAAGCAAGCAAAAAUGUGAGGAGGAAAAGAAAACAAUUUAAAACAAAGCUUUAAUUCCCACAGAUAAAAUUUCAAAGAGCUUGAGAUUGCAUUAAAAUAUAAUCAUUAAGUAAUUAGAAGCAACAAAUCCAAAAAGAUGGUAGCUAUUGGAACUUUUAUUUAUAGAAUAUAAAUUAAUGAUAAAGUUAAUUAUGUUUAAAAUAGAAGAUAGAUCUGAAAAUGUUACAUAGAAUAUAGGACAGAGAGACAAAGCUAGAAAAUAUAAAAGAGACUUUAAAAGAUAAGGAGGAUAGAAAGAGAAAGUAUAACACAUCUAAUUGGAGAAUCAGAAAGAGGGAAUGGAAAAAAUAGGGGUGAAACAAUAUUCAAAGGGAUAAUGGAUGAAAUGAUUUUUGAAUUAAUGAAAGUCAUCAGUUUUCAUAUUCACAAAGUAAAACAUACAUCAAGCCAAUUAUACACUAUAGUAUUAUAACCACAGAACACCUUGAUAUAUUGUGGUGAAAUCACCAAACUUUGUGCAAGGUGAGAAAAGGAGAAAAAACGUUAAGAGAAAAACAUAGGGCAGAUGGUAGAAACAGAUCCAAAUGUAUCGAUGUCACAAUAAAUAUAAAUGGAUUAAAAUUUCUAGUUAAGAGAAAUUAUCAGGCACAAAAUAAAACCCAUGGGAGGAAAUCUCAGUUCUAUUGUUUAUGGAGAUAUUCCUAAACUAAAGAAUACAGAAACUGUUAAAAAUAACAGAGAAAGGAAAUUUUAAAGCAAAAAGUAUUGCUCUAUAUAGUAGAUAGCAUCUGAUGUGGCCCCCACUGGUCCUUGUGGGGAUAUUCAUGGUUUUGUUUAGUCUCAUCCAAGAAUGUAUAGGCAUGCUCUGUUUAACUAGUAAGGUAUUCUAUUUAAUAGAAACCGCAAUAUAGCACUUCUGAGAUUAGGUUAUGAAAAACAAUGUCGCCUCUAUGCUUUGCUGUCUUGGAGCACUGCUCUGGGGAAAUCAACUGCAAUGCUUUGUGGACAUUCACACAGCCCUGUGGAGAAGUAGAUAUUUAAACAAUUGUGGCCUUUUUCCAAUAGACAGUACCAAUUUACCAGCCAAUCGAGUGAGCUAUUCUCAAAGCAAAUCCUCUUCCCUAGUCAAGCCUUCAGUUGUUUGCAUCCUUGACAACUUGAAUGUAACCAUGAGAGAUUCUGAGACAGAACCUCCAACCUAACCUGCUCCUAAAUUCCUGACCGAGAAAAACUGUGAACUAAUAAUUUUCAGUGUUGUCUUAAGCUAUUAAACCUGGAAGUAAUUUAUUAUGCAACAACAUAUAACUUACACACUAAGAUAGAAUUUCGACUAAACAAGUUAAUAUAACUUUAAGCUUUCAUGAUUCCUACUAUAUUUUCAGAAUAAACUAUGUCCUAAUUUAUAGGCAUUUUAAUAUACUAUUAUAGGGAGAGAGUUAACAUAACUGUCUUAGUAAUUCUUCUGUUGACCAGUCACUAAAACAGUAAGUAUAUGGAAAAUUUUCAGAUUUUAAAAGACUAAUGUCAUGCAGCCAAAUAAUGAUUACAAAAUAUAACACAUUGUAGCAAUCUUGGGUUUAUUAUAGAAAUGCAAAGUUGACUCAACAUUCAGUUCAGUUCAGUUCAGUCACUCAGUCGUGUCCGACUCUUUGCGACCCCAUGAAUCGCAGCACGCCAGGCCUCCCUGUCCAUCACCAUCUCCUGGAGUUCACUCAGACUCACGUCCAUAGAGUCGGUGAUGCCAUCCAGGCAUCUCAUCCUCUGUCGUCCCCUUUUCCUCCUGCCCCCAAUCCCUCCCAGCAUCAGAGUCUUUUCCAAUGAGUCAACUCUUUGCAUGAGGUGGCCAAAGUACUGGAGUUUCAGCUUUAGCAUCAUUCCUUCCAAAGAACACUCAGGGCUGAUCUCCUUUAGAAUGGACUGGUUAGAAAUCUGUUAAUGUAUUAAUCAUAUUAAUUAAUCAAUAUCAUCUUAUAAGUACAGAAAAAGUCAGCUAUAAAGUGAAGCUACCAAAAGUUUUUAAUAAACAUCUCACUCUGUGGUGAAUCAUUAAAGUCCAGAGUGAAGUCAAUAAUGCCUAUUUUCACAUCAGUUCAAUAUUGUACUGCCCAUUAUAGCCAGGGCAAAAAUAAGACAGAAGGAAUAAAAUUUAGUAAACUUUAAGACCAAAAAAACCAAAAUUUAAUUUGUUAUAUAGAUGAUAUGAUUUCCUAUUUAGAAAAAAUCUAAAAGUUAUUAAUCAUUUUCAACAAAAAACAAAGUUAAGUACAUUUCUAUAUAUUAAUAAUUGGUUAAUAGUUUAUUUUGGAAAAAUGUUCUAAUAGUGACAUGAAUUAUAAGACAGUUCAGAAUAAUGAAAAAAAAGCUCUUUUCAUUGAAAUUAUAAAAUUGUAUUGAAAAACCUUAAAAGACACUCAAAUAAAUGGAGAAUCACAUUAUGGACAUGAAAACACUAUUUUUGAAAUGAUAAUUUUCCAUAAUUGGUUUAUGAUUUCAUGGAAUUCUACCAAGUAUCGACAAGACUUUUCAUGAAGACUGACUAGCUCAUCUUAACAUAUAUGGUAGAUCAAAUGGACAAAAAUGCUAAUUCAUUUCUGAAAAAGUACAAGGAAUGGCCUCUUGCUCUAUCAGACAUCAAGAUCUACUUUAAACCUGUUAUAAUUAUUACAGUGUGUUAGUUCAAGAAUAGAUUGCUGGAACAGAAUGCUUUGCUCAUAAACGACCCACACAUAUAUAGAAACUUUUUCUUUUAGUCAGCAUUGUGGACCAGUGGUGAAAGUUUAGUCUUCUGGACAAGAGUUAGGGAAACUGGCAAUUCAUAUGGGAAAGAUGAAAGUGAAUCCCACCUCAUACUUAAAAGUGAAUCCCACCUCAUACUUAACAUAAAAAUCAAUUUCAGUUGGGUUAAUAAAUUAACUUUUGAAAAGAAAUAGAAUAUCUUUCUGAUCUUCUUCUCCAUGAAAAGGAUUACUUUUAGAAAGAAUCACAACCAUAAAGAGAUAGGUUGAUAAAUUUCACUUCAUUCAAAUUAUGAGCUUUGUCCAUGGCAAGGCACUGAUUUUAUAAAAACUGUUGUCUAAAAGCUGGAAGGAAAUGUUUGUUCUGCUCAUAAUCAAUUCAACUUAGAAUCUAGAAUAUAUACAAGUUAUAUCAGUUAAUAAGUAAAAGAUUACCAGUAGACAAGCAGGAAUAAGGCAUGGAUAACAUUUCAUAAAAAAUAAAUAAAAAUAACCAAUAAAUAUUUGUAUACACAUUGGCACUAAUCUCUAAUAAUGGAAAGGCAAAUUUAAACUGCAUUGACUAUUACACCUCACCAUAUUUCCAGGAAUAAAUAACCACAUCAGCAUUAGUGAGCAGCAGGAACUAGCAUACAUUGUGACAGGUGAAGUGUAUCAUUGUACAAUGCUUUAGAAGACUGUUUGAAAUUAAUGAUAAAAUUAAGCAAUAGCAUGCAGCCAGCAGUUCAACUGCUGAUUAGACCUGAGAAAGCUACUCAAGCUGACCAGGACAAAGAAACCAUGUUUUUAAAAUUUCCCUUCUUCCUUCUCUCCCUUGCUUCUUUCUCUUCCUCUCCUUCCUUCCUUCUUCGUCCUUCAACAUGGUUAUUAUAUUCCUUAGAAAUAGUUUAACUUCAUUUGUUUCAUCUUAUUUUUCAUUUUUUCCCUACUUUUCAUUCUUAUUUACUUUGAUUUUUUUCAGUAUGUGUAUUAUGCUUUCAAAAGUGAAAACUAUGUACAUAUAUAUGUAUAUAUAUGUACAUAUAUAUAUAUAGAGAGAGAGAGAGAGAGAGAUGAGUUACAGAAGCAACACUGUCUUCUGUAUCUAUUUAUCUCUUUCUCAUUAGACCUGUUUUAUGAGUAAUCAACUUGAUUGGUAUUUUUUUGCAACGAUUAGAAGGAAUGUAAAUCAAUCACUCCUCUAUCUAUCAACAUAGAUAAAUCUCAUAAAUACAAUAUUCAGAAAAAAAUGAUCAAAGAAUAUGCUAUAGUCAUGUUUCAUUUAUAUAAAGACUGAAACAGAAACAAUAGUAUAUCAUUAUUAUUAAUUCAAAUAUAUGUGAUAAAAGUCAAGGAAAAGUGAGGAAAUAUUAAGAUAGCCUAGUAAUUAACUCUAGGGGUGGGGAUUCCAUAAAGAAAUAUACCCAAGGGCCUUCAAAGUCACUAUUUAUGUUCUACAUCAUAAACAGUACUGGACAAAUAUAUAUUUAUUUUAUUAUUAUUAUUAAAAGGAAUAUAUCUUAAAUUUUAUUUUGUAUGUAUUGAGAUUUGGUAUAAAAUUACUAAAAUUAUAAAUAUGCAAGAUUUAAAUUAGGACUUUUCUGAGAGACCUAUAAACCAUGUAAAUAGGAAGAUAUUCCUGAAUGGGAAGGCUCAGAAUUAUAAAGCUUUGAGUCCAUGUGCAUAUGUACAUUGACCCAAUUCCAAUCAGAAAAGUAAUAAAAUAAAAUUCAAAAAGUAAUACCCACAAAUACCCAAAGGCAUGUGAGAGACAGGAGGUCAUUAUUCUAUGCUGUUUCAGUGUAUGGAUUUAAUUGCAGCAACAUAAAAACCUUGUUCUUAAACUGUUUAGAGAUUAAAAAAAUAUGUAAUAUAAUGUCUACAUUCAGUGACUUGGCUAGACACUUGUAGAGUGAAUGCUGUGAUCCAUGUGACUGAAAAUUGCGCUUGUACACAGGGAUGCCAAAGCUCCACUCUGCUACUUAGUAAGACCUCCUGAUUUUAAUCAGAACACUUAACUGCAUUAUCUGGUUUUCUAGUAUCUAAAAUUAAGAGAACAAUCAUAUUAAAAACUUCCCAGAAUUAUUGCCGAAACUCUGAGAGAAAACAUGUUUUAUAUUAUACAUUAGUAGACAAAAAGUAUUUGUCUUACCCUUAUGCUAGUAAAAGAUCCUAUGAAAUAAGGUUUUUUUGCAGGUUUUCUUUUGAAUAUGACAUUCAUAAUAUUGUAGUGUGAUUUUUUUCCAUCUGUGUUGUGAAUAUCUAUGUCAGUCUUUCCUUGUAGCUGUAAUAUAUUUAAAUAAUGAAAAUUUAUAUAUAUCACAUGAUAAAAUUUUACAAAGCAUCCUUCUUUCCAUCCCCUGCAAAAGUUAGAAAAGUAUGAAUGAGUAGAUGACUUGCCAUAUUGGAUAUUCGUUGAAUUUUACAAUUAUAAUAAUUAAAGCUCUGUGAUACUGAUUGAGAAAAGAAGGCUAGAGCAGUGGAACAAUAUAAGAGCUUUGGAACAGACCUUAAUGUUUAAAAAUUCAUUCAGUUCAGUUGCUCAGUUGUGUCUGACUCUUUGUGACCCCGUGGACUGUAGCACGCCAGGCCAUAUAUUUUAUAUGAUAUAAAUCUUAAUAUGUAGAUAUAAAUCUUAAUAUGUAGGUAUAAUAUAUAGACAUUAUAAUACAUCUAUGGAAAACUAUGGAGCGCAAGAAAAUAAAGUCUGUCACUGUUUCCAUUGUUUCCCCAUCUAUUUGCCAUGAAGUGAUGAGACUGGAUGCCAUGAUCUUAGUUUUUUGAAUGUUGAGUUUUAAGCCAACUUUUUCACUCUCCUCUUUCACUUUCAUCAAGGAGCUCUUUAGUUCUUUGCUUUCUGUCAUAAGGGUGGUGUCAUCUGCACAAUGGCUCACCAAAUAUUAUUUCAAAAGAUAUAAAAUUUAACUUUUUUUCCUUUUUGCAAAAACUGUCAUUUUCUUGUGCAAACUUAGACUCUUGGUCAACAUAAGUGUUGGUAUGAGCAGUCAAUUUUAAUGUUCAAAUGGAAGAUUUGUUAUUCAAUUAAUAAGUAAUCACAACCCCCUUUUAAUAGCAUUUCUAUUAAAAUAUUUGAUUUUACUGAUUCUCUCUAUUAGAAUGGUAAUAUUCUGUCCUAUUUUGAAGUAGGUGGAGGUUGCACAAAGUGAUUUUUCUUGUUUCCAUUUGGAGCAUUAGUAAGUUUAUGUCAAAAGUCCAACUUGAAAUUUAACAUUUUACUUCCUAAUUGAUCUAAAUUUUAAAUUUUCUGGCUCAAGAUUAUCCAUUUCUUAGAGUUUUGCAUGUUCUCUUUAUUUUUCAAGCACUGUAGUAGAGAAAUGAGAUUUUAAUUCCUCAAGAGGGAUGUCAUACUUUAGAAAGACAAAGCUGUUUCAAGACAGAGUUACUGGGUUCAGCUUAGUUCACCCUCUGGUUCAAUGACUUGUUCCUACAACUUAUCAAGAGUUUUAUUAUGUCAGCCCCAGCAUAUACCUAUUCCCAGGUCAGCUCCUUGAUUAUUCUUGGACUUUUUCAAACCUUUAAAAGCUAUGUGGAUAUACAAUAUAUACAGUUGUUUUUAAUAGAAAUGCAUGUCAACAAUUAUUUAAGUUUGAGCUCAAGUUUAUUUCCUCUAAAAUUAUAUUGUGAAAACCUGACUUUACUUUUUAAGUGUUAAAGCAAAGUCAUAUAUGCAGAAUGUUUCCCUUUGCACAUGUUUCAUUUUUGAGUGGUGGCCAGUACUUAUAUCAGAGAAGGCAAGAGUACUGGAGUGGGGUGCCAUCGCCUUCUCCAAGAAUGUAGGCUAAAUAGUAUCAAAUGUGUCUUGUAGCAGUAUGUAUGUGACUGCAUCCCUCACUAGUAUAAUAUUCAUGAGUGUCAUGAGUUCUUAGGAAGGAGAGAUCACUGCAGCCUGUCAAGAAUUUAAGACCUAAUUUAUGUGCAAAAUUUUAAACUUGUGUCUGAAUUUUCCUCAUUAUGUAGAAAAUUCUAAUUUCCCUGCACUAAACAAAUAAACAAUAUAAAAUAUGAUCAGGAAAUCAACGGGAG